UACGUAGGAGGCAAGCGUUGUCCGGAAUUACUGGGCGUAAAGCGCGUGUAGGUGGUGGGACAAGUCUGCUGUGAAAGUGCCUGGCUUAACCGGGCGAGGUCGGCGGAAACUGUCCGACUCGAGGACGGUAGAGGGGGGUGGAAUUCCCGGUGUAGUGGUGAAAUGCGCAGAUAUCAGGAGGAACACCGAUGGCGAAGGCAGGUCUCUGGGCCACUACUGACGCUGAGAAGCGAAAGCAUGGGGAGCGAACAGG
rnacentral:rRNA from 1 species